AUUAAUCCUCAGACAUUAAUGAGAAAUUAGCACAGCCGUGACUCAGAAGAGGGAUAUUAAGCAGGAAAACUUGAGAGAUCGGAAAUGGCUUAGUUCUCAGCAGAAAGGUAACCUCACAACCUCAAGGGAAAGGGUACCUGUGUCCUGUUAGAGCUGGUGACCCUGAUGGAGCAGGAAGAGCAAUACCUGGAGAGAUGCUGAGCUCCUAUGCAUGCUCACCUCCUGCCCCUCCUGCCUGACAGCCUGCUCUGACCUGACCAUGAGGACUGCAGAGCCCUUCCACACCUGCAGGUUAGAGAUUAUAAAGGCACAACAACAGGGAGGCAAAUACCAGACUUAUUUUCAGUUUGUGGGAGGUUUUACAGGAGCCUAGCUUUGCAGUUGACUCUGCAUCUGACUUGACCUUCAGAUACCAGGGAGUCAAGAUGAACUGCAAAUAUGCAUCCAAAGACAGGUUUUGGCUCUCUGCCUCGUGUCUAAAGCACUUUGCAUUGUCUCUGAGUGAUAACACACUUACAUGACAACAGAAUAUAUUUCAAGAUAACAUUAAAGAUGUGAUCCACAGAAACUUUGCUAUCAAAAUAUAGACUGGAAGGUCUGGAAAAAUAAUCUACAUUCUGAACUGGGCUUUCAGACCGACAGGACCUCUAAAAUGGUCAGCCACAAAAUCCACACAAAGCUCACUGCAUACUGGACAAGGACAUGGGAAGCACUGGCUAGCUUGAUGGGACUGACCAGCAUGUAAACCUGGGAUGGUGCUACUGAAGUUGGAGUUACCCCUCCUGGGUGCUGUUAACCCAGGAGAUUGCACUGACCAUCUGUCCACCCCAUGGUCAAUCCCACAGCCCUGUAGGCAUUCCUUUGGCAGGUGCCAAAGGAACAUAUUGCUGGUGGACAGGAACAUCUGCCAUGUGCUGCAGGAAUUUAACUGAAAGGGAAUCUCAAGUAAGGAUGCUGCAUUUCCAGGUCACACACUUGGACGAUACAGCUGUGUAGGGUACACAUUGAAAAGUCACUUGCACACGCAUGCUGUUAGCUCCACAGCAGCACUGGGGGCCAGCGUGACUACCCCUAAGAGGCACGGAAACCUCUAGGAGCAAAUUAAAACUUGCCUCAAAACCAAUGCUGAAGGCAAUUCACAAGUAAUUGGCUAAAAUCACCUGGCAAGAAUACCUGUCUCUACAUGUGGGCCACAAAAUCUAUAGACGAGACUAGUAAGCAUCGGCACGGGCAGUGUGGCACAGCAAAAACAUGUUUAAUCAGCUUGCAUCUUGAGCUUUAAGUCACUUAAACAACGUGGAGACCCCUAAUCAAGCCUUUUUUUUAA